CCUACGGGUGGCAACAGUGAGGAAUAUUGGUCAAUGGACGCAAGUCUGAACCAGCCAUGCCGCGUGCAUGAAGACGGCUCUAUGAGUUGUAAACUUCUUUUGUACGAGGGUAAACGCAGAUACGCGUAUCUGUCUGAAAGUACCGUACGAAUAAGGAUCGGCUAACUCCGUGCCAGCAGCCGCGGUAAUACGGAGGAUUCAAGCGUUAUCCGGAUUUAUUGGGUUUAAAGGGUGAGUAGGCGGUCGGAUAAGUUAGAGGUGAAAUCCCGAGGCUCAACUGCGGAAUUGCCGCGGAUACUGGUAGGCUAGAGAGUAGGUGAGGUAGGCGGAAUGUGUGGUGUAGCGGUGAAAUGCUUAGAGAU
rnacentral:rRNA from 1 species